rnacentral:RNase_P_RNA from 1 species
GAAGUUGGCCGGACAGUCGCCGCCCGCGCAAGCGGGGGGAGGAAAGUCCGGGCUUCAUAGGGCAGGAUGCCGGCUAACGGCCGGGCGUCGUGAGGCGACGGAAAGUGGAACAGAGAGCUGAACCGCCGAUGGCUGGACCACAUGGCCCGCAAGGGUUGUGUGGUUGUACCCGAAAGGGCAGCACAGGUAAGGGUGAAAAGGUGCGGUAAGAGCGCACCGCUCGACUGGUAACAGCUCGAGGCAGGCUAAACCCCAUCCGAAGCAAGACCAAAUAGGCAAGCGUUGACGGGGCCCCCUGAGCUUGCGGGUAGGUUGCUUGAGGCGUGCAGCAAUGUACGUCCUAGAGGAAUGACUGUCGGCAGCGGGUAACCGCUGUGUCACAGGACCCGGCUUACAGGCCGACUUCGCCU